UAUUUUUCGCAUGUGCGACGUCAAGACAUAGCAUGGAACUCACGAUGUUCGGCUGGUUCGGCGAUACACGAUUCCGUUUGGGACAGCACCUGGCAGGCCUGGAAAGGCGAUGUACGCAACAAUUACGACAUGCGGUUGGUUCAGUACUCAUUCGCGGUACGCCCGCGGCACACGGUUCGGGGUUUCGCGGGCUCAUAUAAAAUAUACUGACCUCAGAAUUAUGCACAUCAGAUUCGUUACUGAUGUUAAGACCGUUGUCGCCAGAAGUUGCUCCGAAGAUCGUGGGGACGGCUCCUACAUCGAGCCACAUCUUCUUUGGCGCCAUCCCGAACAGCGCUUGCAGAAGAUCCCUGACCAUAUAUGCGUCAUCAGCUAAAUGUGCGGAACACACUCGUUUCACAUUCAGGACUUUCGUUGAAGACGCUUCGAGUGUGUGAUUCUCGAUGGUUGCUUCCCAUUUACGCUUCGUCGCUUCGUCCUUCGGGGUAUAAAAACUCAGAUUGCCAUUGACAACAGACCUGUUGUUACACCCAGGCACGCUACAAUAGUUUCCACCACUCGGCAUGUUCCGUAGGUGUAACGAUGAGAAAUUCACGAAACACAGAACGAUAGUGUACUAGGCAAGCUCAAGGCGCCAAGUGAUUUUAUUUAGGUCGAGUCAUCCCAGCUUCCCUUUGCUCUCGAAAUGAGGACGCAAAGGUGGAUUGACACCGUUUCUCUAAACCAGCAAGUAGGCCGCUUCUUACAAUAUGCGUCUUUCUCUUGGCAACUGAAAGAAAAUGUACGAAGGUUCCACGGUCUCCAGACACUUCUCAAAGUCGUCUGCUAGCGCGCGCGAAAGCAGACGAUUUCUACAUCCAAUCAUGGAGUUUCUCGUAGUGCCCGCACGCCGACGUACCGGUUGUUGAUGUUGCCAACACAAAUCGCGGUAUGCUGUGCAAUCCUUAUCGAUUUAAUUCGUUUAUUUAAUAACCGUGACGUGCUUUGUCGGGUAAAUUCGCACUAUUCCAUUUCCAACAAAGGGCAAUCGAAUUGUGCACUUUAUGAGAGGGCCAGGGGGUACGAGACCAUCCCUUUAAAUACCGUGUGCGGAUAUUUGGACAUAUACAUUAAAAAAUCAUCAUCUGGACAAAAUUGCUCGUUGCCAUUUUUUCGCUGGUUACUGAUCCACGAAUGCGGUGCCAUUCACUCAAGGCCAAAUCGAGAGACGGGGCGGAAUUUUCCACGUGUGCUUUAACAUCCGCCCGAAACAGGAUGAUCGAUUAUUAGUAAUACGGGCAAAGACCGGAUGGUAAAACAUUUCCCGGACGUCUUGCGUUCCUGCCUUCUAGACGACUGCGGUACUAGUCCCGCUACUGAUAAAGACCCAUACGAGGGACAUAAGAGGGGAACUCGCUAACAGUUCCAACAGACAGUCCAUCAUGAAGGUUUUGAUCCUAAUCUUGAGCCUGGUGGUGCUCAUUUCCUCGGUAGCCACGGCGCCCACCUUCUUCACAUAUGAAGGCGUCGAAGGCGAACAAGGUGUCGGAGUCGGAAUUGGUGGAGUCGGUCUCGGUGUAGGUGUCGACCCUGACGGCGGCUUCCUAGGAACGGGCAUUGAUGUUGGCCUUACGGGUGACCUACCCGGCUUGUUGACAAGCGGUUUCGAUCGGCCUGGUGCCCUCUUGGGUAUUCUGGCCAAGUGAGAGCCACCGCACUAAGUGUACGGUGGAGAACGCACAAGAGCUAAUAAACGAUAAAGAUUGCAUUGAACUGAAUUGAAUUUGAAAUGAAAAAUAAAGAGUGCGUUUAUGAGGAGAAA